UCAAAUUCGGCCGAAUCCAUUCGUACAGAAAUGGACUUUACAGAAUUAAUACAGAAAUCUCACAUGGGGCCCCAUGUGAAUAAAAUUGUGCCAAACCAAACCCCCCCCCCCUCCCGUGUAUCGAUGAACAUGAAGAUUGACCACUAGAUAGAAAUAAAAUAAAACCCACUUUCACAUGUGCGUUUAUAAUUAAUAAUCUUUAUAGGGGUUGACGAUAAUUCAAGGUUAUUUCUACUAGAAGAGAUUCAAGAUUCAAUCACUCUUGCCCUUUUGAGCACCAAUUUCUUGCAGGUAAUGUUCCGCAUCCAAGGCUGCCAUGCAUCCUGAAUAACAAGAGUAAAAACCCAAGACCAGUAAGAAUGGCAAUGCAUAAAAACUAGGUUGAGAAUAUUUCAAUUUAUUCAGUCUAGCUAGGAGGUGAUUCUAUUUCUUGUUACAGAUGUUGCUGCAAAUGAUACAUAUGGGGGUGUUUGAUAGGUAUUUUUACGUAAAAAUGUAUUUUAGAAUAGUAAAUUGAUGUGAAAUGUGUGGUUGAGAAAUAAGGAAAAGUUUUUGAUUUAAAUGUAAUAUUAUUUUAAUAAAGAAUGUGUGGUUGAAAAGAAGAGUGAGAAAAAUGCAUUUUAAAAAAAAUGACUACCAAACGGGACAUAAUAUCAGUACAAGCAAUUAAAAAGAGUGAUCCAGUAAGAAAGACUGCAUAAAAACCAGGUUAAGAAUAUUUAAAUUUAUUCAGUCUGCAAGGAGGUGAUUCUAUUUCUUGUCACAGAAGUUGCCAAGGGAUGCAUAAAAUCAACACAAGCAAUAAUAAAAGGUUUAAUAAUAUACACACAUAUUGGUCUAAUGGAAUAUCCUUCACUAUUUCACCAAAAUGGAAUCAAAUUAUCCUGUUUCGCUCCCUAGUUGAAAAGCGAUGACUUGAGCAAUGUAAAAGUCCGUGUGUGUGUGUGUGUAUUGGCCACAGAAUUUUCUGCCCAAAUUUGGCUUCUAAAUUUCAUUCAAUCUGAGAUGAACUCCGUGUUGGAUUUCAGGUUAAAUAAAUUUACAAACUAAGCCUCCAUUUGGCAACAUUUAUAAAUCAUUUAUAAAUGGUCAAACUUCAUUUUCAACCACACAUUUUCAAUGGACACACAAAUACUAUACACUUAUCUACCAGUCAUUUCUAUCCAUUUGAAAAUUAAACAAUUUAUAAAUUCUUCCCAAACAGAUGCUAAGAAAUAAGCAUAUAAUGGUGGAUUGACUAACUAGUAGCAGCGGAAUAUAGAUUGCAGAACAUGCUAACGUUCAAAGAAGGGUGUUCAGUCAAAUCGUUCGGAAAGUGAUGAAAUUAUCAUUAAAAUAUUAUCUUGAAGGUGAGGUUGUCUGCGUCCGAGAAACACAUAUAAACAUGCAAUUAGAAAGGGUUUCAGCUUUUGUGCCUUGACUGUGAACAUAGUCCUUGAUAGAAUAGGAAAAGAAAGAUGAGUCACUGUGCAAGCAUACCUUAAGCAAAUAAUAUGAAUUUCUUAUGCGUCAUCAAUUAACUACUCUUAGAAAAGAAAAUAUUUUCUUUCAACUACCAAAGUCACAACAAGGCACUUAUUGAAUCUUAGUAAAGUAAAAGUGAGGAAACAAAGGAAGACAGAUAUUCUCAACUAAUUCUUUACAACUCAAUAAAUACAGAUUACAAGUGAGGUACAGGGAAUGAAUAGCAAGGAAGACAACAGCCUGCCUAAUGAAACCAUGACAAUGACACUUUUAUUACAGAAGAGAACCAAUCACAAGAAUGAUGCAACUCUUAGUGGAAGGGCAAAAGAAUGAGAUAUGUGCAGCUAACUAAUUUAUCAGUUACCGUACAGAACCGCUCUGUUUUCUUGGCCUUUCAAUUUGUAAGUUCUCCUACAAUCUCUAGAAGCUCAUUUUUGCUAAAAAAAAAAUUAUAAAAAUAAAAUAAAAAUUGGCCCUACCCGAAUUAUUUUGCUUAAACACGAGCCCCUUUAAUUUUUGACUUGUCAAGUGAAGUGUUCUAAAGAUCAUGCUGUGAAUAAAUCAUUUUGAAGCAUCAGAACUUUAGGAGUCAAAGGAAUUUGUUUCUGCAAGCUGGUGCAGUUUGGCAUAGCUAAAAUAAGAGAUGAGAACAAGAACUAGAAAUUUUGUGAAGGAAGAUGAGAAAUCAUAACACAAUUCCACAGACAAUCAUGAGUCCAUAAGGGCACCCCAACUAGAAUGGGCAAUAAGAUAUAACCAAUAAGCUCAAUAUUAAUUAACUCGGAACAAAUUGAGACGCCAAACAACAAUCCUAAUAGCAAUAAAGUUCCAAGUUUAAGACACAGAAACAGCCCCCCAACUUAAAGUCCCUAUUUGGUGGGGAUUAAAAUUAGAUUUUUAGUAGAUUUUGAUAAAAGUCAAUGAAAUGCGUGGUUGAAAAGUUGUGGGAUCCAGAGAAUAUGUGGUUAGAAUUAAUUGUUGACUUUGACAUAAAUUAAAAUCUAGAUUUUAAUUUGUACCAAACAGGGUGAAAGUCAAAAAUUAUAUAAGUAAUUACCUUUGAUUACAAGUUCUUUGGACUGUAAAAGCAAUUAAAGAAGGCUAUUCAGUCAAUUGGUUACUAAAAUAUUAUCUUGAAGGCGAGGUUGUCUGCAUCUGAGAAACAAAUAAAAACAUGUAGCUAGAAAGGAUUUGAGCUUUUUUGCCUUGACUAUGAACAGUCCUUGAUAGAAUAGGGAAAUAAAGAUGAGUCACUGUACAAGCAUACCUGAAGCUCAACAAUUAACUACUCUUUGAAAGGCAAAUAUUGUCUUUCAACUACCAAAGUCACAGCAAGGCACAACAUAGAAUCUCUGUAAAGUAAAUGUGGGGAAACAAAGGAAGAAAAAUAUUCUCAGUAAUUCUUUACAACACAAUCAAUACAGUUACAAGAGAGGUACAGGGAAAAUUAAUAGCCAGGACGACAACAGCUUGCCGAGUGAGACCAUAACAAUCACACUUGUAUUACAGAAAAGAACCAAUCAUAAGAUGAUGCAACUCUUAGUGGAAGGGCAAAAGAAUGAGAUAUGUGCAGCUAAAUAAUUUAUCAGUUACUGUAUGUAAUCACAAUUAGCUAAACUAAUGACCCUAAAAGAGAAAGUUCUCAAUCUGUUUUCUUGGCCUUUCAAUUUGUAAGUUCUCUUGCAAUCUCUAGAAGCUCAUUUUUGUUAAAAUAAAAUAAAACAUCACACCUAGCCCAAUCAUUUUUGCUUAAACACAGAGCCCCCUUUAAUUUUUGACAUUUCAAGUGAAUAGUUUAAAGAUCAUGCUGUGAUUAAAUCAUUUUGAAGCAUCAGAACUUUAGGAAUCAAAGGAAUUCUUUUCUGCAAGCUGGUGCAGUUUCAUGUAGUUAAAAUAAGAGAUGAGAACAAGAACUAGAAAUUUUGUAUAGGAAGAUAAGAAUUAUGGAUAAAGAACCAUUUGUAGGAGGUUAUCGCAUAUCAUAACAUUAUUCCGUGGACAAUCAUAAGUCCAAAAGGGCACUCAAACUAGCUAGGGAAUAAGAUACAAGCAAUAAGCUCUAUAUUAACUAGCUAGGGAAUAAGAUACAAGCAAUAAGCUCUAUAUUAAUUAAAUCAGAACAAAUUGGGAAGCCAAACAACAUUCCUAAUAGCAAUAAAGUUCUAAGUUUAAGACACGGAAACAGCCCCACAACUGAAAGUCAGAAAUUAUAUCAGUACCUUUGAUUACAAGUUCAGUGAUUUAUGAAAAAUAAACUAUAUCAAGUGAAAUGGAAUGCAUGUGGUAAUAUAUUAACGGAAAUUUUGUUUUUCAAGUUUCAAUAUCGAGAACGAAUUGUAAGCAUAAGCUACAGGUUGAACCUCUAGUAGGAAAUCAUUGGACCAAAUAGUAUGAAUUAGGUACAGAUGUUAAAUAGGGUAAUCAGAACUUCACCCAAACCUUACUAGGAGUGCAAGUCCAGCAGCCGGCACUAUUUUUCAUUCAUGAGCAAAAUUUUUCCCAGCAGUUUCUCAUUAAUUCUUCUGCCAGCAGCAGCCACAGCCUUUUAUUUCUCUAUUGUAGCGACCGUUUUUUUGACCUCUCAAUGGAAAGCCUCUGUUUUUUACUUUUCUAAUGGUAGCCUUUGUGUUUCUCUCUCACACUGAACACGGCUUCAUGGAUGUGUAUAUGGAACCUGCUACACUUACACCCCUACCGGAUUACUCACAGUCGCAGGCCUGACGUAUUAUUAUUAUUUUUUUCAUGUGGGAUCGACCCUUACUGUGAGGGGUGGUUUAGGGUUUAAGGUUUAGGGUUUUUUUUUUGAAUGUCAUAAACAAUUCCCUUUCUUCAUAAGUAAUGUGUAUCGAUGAACAUGAAGAUUGACCACUAGAUAGAGAUAAAAUAAAACCCACUUUCACACGUGCGUUUAUAAUUAAUAAUCUUUAUAGGGGUUGACGAUAAUUCAAGGUUAUUUCUACUACAAGAGAUUCAAGAUUCAAUCACUCUUGCCCUUUUGAGCACCAAUUUCUUGAAGGUAAUGUUCUGCAUCUAAGGCUGCCAUGCAUCCUGGGCCAGCAGCAGUAACAGCCUGCCUAUACUUCUUAUCCUGAACAUCACCAGCAGCAAAUACACCCUUGACGCUGGUCUGAGUGGUGCCAGGCUUCGUGAUCACAUACCCAUCAGAAUCCAGCUCCAGCUGUCCGUUCAAAAACUUGGUUGCCGGCUCAUGUCCAAUCGCAAAAAACAAACCAGAAACGCUCAAAUCAGUAACCUCCCC
rnacentral:lncRNA from 1 species